AUUGAACGCUGGCGGCAUGCCUUACACAUGCAAGUCGAACGGUAACAGGUCUUCGGAUGCUGACGAGUGGCGAACGGGUGAGUAAUACAUCGGAACGUGCCCGAUCGUGGGGGAUAACGCAGCGAAAGCUGUGCUAAUACCGCAUACGAUCUACGGAUGAAAGCGGGGGAUCUUCGGACCUCGCGCGGACGGAGCGGCCGAUGGCAGAUUAGGUAGUUGGUGGGGUAAAGGCUCACCAAGCCUGCAAUCUGUAGCUGGUCUGAGAGGACGACCAGCCACACUGGGACUGAGACACGGCCCAGACUCCUACGGGAGGCAGCAGUGGGGAAUUUUGGACAAUGGGCGCAAGCCUGAUCCAGCCAUGCCGCGUGCAGGAUGAAGGCCUUCGGGUUGUAAACUGCUUUUGUACGGAACGAAAAGUCUCUUUCUAAUAAAGAGGGAUCAUGACGGUACCGUAAGAAUAAGCACCGGCUAACUACGUGCCAGCCGCCGCAGUAA
rnacentral:rRNA from 1 species